UGAGCUCAGGCAAGGCUACCCGCUGAACUUAAGC
rnacentral:rRNA from 1 species